rnacentral:lncRNA from 10 species
GCUUCCGGUUCUCUGAGUUUUGUGCUGUUCCGGUUUUGUUCAGGUUUAGCACAAGCUGUGAUGAAUAUCUUCAAGCCUCUGCUUCCUGCUGUGGAAUUGUUGCCAAAGGACACAUUCCCAGAUGGGAUUACUGAGUCAGAGGAAGUGGACAUUGAGUGGCUCUCAACAGACAGGCUGUGUUGCUCUCACAGUGCCCAGCUUCCCAUGGGUGGCCAGCCGAAUGCAUUAUGGGAGAAAGCAGGUCUCGUGGAUAAUAUUUCUGAAGAUCGGAGCAGGUUGCCAGGUCCACGUCGGCCAUGACUGCAGCACGCUCCGGAGGCAGCAGGGGGCACCCUGGAGCUUCGCAUCCUCCUUCAGGCCCGCGGCAUCUCCCCUGGCUCCACCAUCCCCAGGUGUCUCAGGUUGGACGCACGG